rnacentral:rRNA from 1 species
GAGUUUGAUCCUGGCUCAGAACGAACGCUGGCGGCAGGCCUAACACAUGCAAGUCGAGCGAGACCUUCGGGUCUAGCGGCGGACGGGUUAGUAACGCGUGGGAACGUACCCUUUUCUGCAGGAUAGCCACUGGAAACGGUGAGUAAUACUGCAUACGCCCUUCGGGGGAAAGAUUUAUCGGAGAAGGAUCGGCCCGCGUUAGAUUAGAUAGUUGGUGGGGUAAUGGCCUACCAAGUCUACGAUCUAUAGCUGGUUUGAGAGGAUGAUCAGCAACACUGGGACUGAGACACGGCCCAGACUCCUACGGGAGGCAGCAGUGGGGAAUCUUAGACAAUGGGCGCAAGCCUGAUCUAGCCAUGCCGCGUGAGUGAUGAAGGCCUUAGGGUCGUAAAGCUCUUUCGCCUGUGAAGAUAAUGACUGUAGCAGGUAAAGAAACCCCGGCUAACUCCGUGCCAGCAGCCGCGGUAAUACGGAGGGGGUUAGCGUUGUUCGGAAUUACUGGGCGUAAAGCGCGCGUAGGCGGACAUUUAAGUCAGAGGUGAAAUCCCAGGGCUCAACCCUGGAACUGCCUUUGAUACUGGGUGUCUUGAGUUCGAGAGAGGUGAGUGGAAUUCCGAGUGUAGAGGUGAAAUUCGUAGAUAUUCGGAGGAACACCAGUGGCGAAGGCGGCUCACUGGCUCGAUACUGACGCUGAGGUGCGAAAGUGUGGGGAGCGAACAGGAUUAGAUACCCUGGUAGUCCACACCGUAAACGAUGAAUGCCAGUCGUCGGGUAGUAUACUAUUCGGUGACACACCUAACGGAUUAAGCAUUCCGCCUGGGGAGUACGGUCGCAAGAUUAAAACUCAAAGGAAUUGACG